GCCAUCUUAGCUCAGCAGUAGAGCACAUGGCUCUUAACCAUGUGGUCGUGGGGUUCAUUCCCCACAGAUGGCG